GUCAUCACUUCUGCAACACAUACACUAAAAUGAGUAUGAUACAGAGAUUAGCGUUCUUGCACAGGAUGAAAGACACAUUCUUGAAACAUUGCAUAUUUUU
ensembl:snRNA U6 U6 spliceosomal RNA